rnacentral:rRNA from 1 species
UAAAACGUAGGACGCAAGCGUUAUCCGGAGUUACUGGGCGUAAAGCGCGGGCAGGCGGCUCUGUAAGUCUGAUGUGAAAGCGCCCGGCUCAACCGGGCGAGGCCAUUGGAAACUGGAGAGCUGGAGGGCAGUAGAGGCAGGCGGAAUUCCGGGUGGAGUGGUGAAAUGCGUAGAGAUCCGGAGGAACACCAGAGGCGAAGGCGGCCUGCUGGGCUGCACCUGACGCUGAGCCGCGAAAGCCAGGGGAGCGAACGGGAUUAGAAACCCCGGUAGUCCUGGCCGUAAACGAUGUGUGCUGGAUGAUGGCACGAACGUGUCGUUGUCGAAGCUAACGCGAUAAGCACACCGCCUGGGGAGUACGGUCGCAAGGCUA